UACGUAGGUGGCAAGCGUUGUCCGGAUUUACUGGGCGUAAAGAGCGCGCAGGCGGUCGGAUAAGUCGAAUGUGAAAGCCCCCGGCUCAACUGGGGAGGGUCAUUCGAUACUGUUCGACUCGAAGGCAGGAGAGGGAAGUGGAAUUCCCGGGUGUAGUGGUGAAAUGCGAUAGAUAUCGGGAGGAACACCAGUGGCGAAGGCGACUUCCUGGCCUGUUCUUGACGCUGAGGCGCGAAAGCUAGGGGAGCAAACGGGG
rnacentral:rRNA from 1 species